CCGUAAACACCGGAGAUACUGCAGUGUCAGCUCCCUGCUCAUCCUGGCUUUCAGUUCCCACUCCAUUUCCGGCACAUGGGGAUUUCCCUUUCUUGCCUGUAACGGUGUCUAAGUUUGAUCUUACUUUUAGCUAACAUUUCUAGCUGUUUCAAGGGGUAGGGAUUAAGCAGUGAGGGUGAGGGGCUGAGAAGUUGGGCAGAGGAUGGUUGCUAAGAGGCAGAAAAGACAUGAUCGAUUUUGGCAAACACAAGGCUCAGGAGAUAGACGCCGGCUCUCAGGCCUGCCAGCACUACCAGGGCGGGGGUGGAACAUACUCAGAGAAUGGAGGAUCUGAGAAGAGAGCUGGACUUCUUGUGCUGGUUUCCCUCGUGAGGCUAAUUCUCACUGGACGUGAGAGUCCCGUUCAGCUCAGCAAUAGGCUGAGCCUUGAGUGGCUGAAGAGUUCAGUGAAACUUCACUAAUUAUGGCUUGGGGGAAGCAAAAUGGAGCCCAGGACUUCCUUCAAAGGAGGAGGGUGGUGCUUAACCCUCCCGGCUUGCGGUUGAGACCCCAGAGGGGCGUGCCCUAGAUCACGACAAACAGGUAAAUCCGAGGGCAAACGAGAGGUGGAACAAGCCGUACCACGUACGCAGCCUGUCCCAUUCGGCUCAGCCCUGACUUGACUGGGGUGACCUGUCCCUGCUCUGUGGCAGAGGACAGGGCGGGUCCUCUCUGAUGGCCACAAUAGCAUCCGGAGAUCGUACUUUUUCCCCCCUAGUCACAGUGUCUGUUGUUUUAUAUCAAGAGUUACCAGACACCUACAAAAAUAUAUAGACCCAAGUGUAAAAGCAGGGGAUGAAACUCGGAGCUUUGAAACGACUCUGAUGACCGUGCGCUGAGGAGUAAGUGACGAGACGGAAACUUUCAUUAGAGAAACGAAAUCUUGAAAACAAUCAAAUAGAAACGCCAGCACUAAGAAUAAAAUAACCAACGUGAAGAGUGUGACAGAUGGGUUAACAGACUAUUAGCGGACAGGACUGAAGAGGGGAUUAGCGAGCCCUGAUUUAGGUCAGCAGCCAACAGGAGAGCGAAGCACACAGAGAAAAACGCAUGGAAAAUAGCAGAGGAGACACGCAGGGCCGUCAGCAGACCUCACACACCUGUCGCUCGAAUCCAGGGAGGGAGAUUGCAAACGGGGCACAACAGCAUCUGAAGAGAAGAUGAGUGAAACUUUCCCAAAACCAGCGGAAGACAUACCAGUUGCACGUGCAGGAAGUGCUGCACAUUUCCAGAGAGGUAAAUACAAAGGUACUCCUAAGCACACUGUAGCAAAACCGCCGAAAACUCAGUGACUUGGAGAAAAUCAGUAACAGCCAGGAGGCCGGGCGCCGUGGCUGAUGCCUGUAAUCCCAACACUUUGGGAGGCUGAGACAGGAGGACCCUGUCUCUACAAAAAUAAAAAUAAAUUAAAUGAAUAACAGCCAGGAAAAAAAAAAAAAAACAAAAAGAUGCCACCUUCGAAGGGGCAACAGUGAGGCUCUUGACUUCGCCACAUAAACACGGAAAGCCAGCAGACAACGGAACAAUAUUCUUAAACGCCAACAUGGGACGCAAUUUCAAGGGAAAGAGAAAGGUAAAUAAAAACAUUUCCGUCACCCUCCCCAGUGAAUCGAGAGAAUCCUCACGGCAAACAUGCACCAAUAAACAAGACAAAACACAGUGCAGGCCUUUGGAAAAUGGUCCCGAAUGGAGACAUGGAAACGCAGAAGGGAAACAACGGAACAGCAGCCGAGAGGCGAACACGAUGGUGCGUUUCCAUGCACACCAGCUGCGGAAAGUGGUAAGAUGAUUUAUUGUGCAGGUUAACACAUGUGCAGAGCCGAAAUGCCUGAGAAUGACAGCACAAAAACUGGGAGAGAGGCUGAUGAAUUGAGGGCAUUAGAAGGACAGGACGUGGUGGCUCACACUGAUAAUCCCAGCACUUUGGGAGGCUGAGGCUGGUGGAUCAUUUGAGGUCAGGAGUUCGAGACUAGCCUGACCAACAUGGCCAAAUCUCGUCUCUACUAAAAUUAUAAAAAAAAAGUUUAGCUGGGCGUGGUGGCACAUGCCUGUAGUCCCAGCUACUCAGGAGGCUGAGGCAAGAGAAUCGCUUGAACCCAGGAAGCGGAGGUUGCAGUGAGACGAGGUUGAGCCACGGCACUGCAGCCUAGGCAGCAGAGUGAGACUCUGUCUCAAAAAAAAAAAAGGAAAGAAAAAGAAAAAAGAGAGAAAAAAAAGAAUAGCAAAUGUAAUAUAGCAGAUUUAAACCUAAAUACAUUGAUAAAUAUAAUAGAGGUAUACUAAAAUACUCCAAUUAAAAGAAAUAUUGUCAGACUGAAUAUUUAAAAAUAAGCCCCAGCAACAUCGGUUAAAAGGAUAGAAAUUCUUUGAAGAGAGUUGGUUUAAAUAAGUAAAUAAAAAGGAUGGAAAAAGAUAAAUCAUAACAUUAACUAGAAAAAAAGCUGGCAUCACUAUAGUAAUAUGAGACAAAAAUGGACUUCAGAUUAAAAAAAACUAGAGAUAAAAACUUUAUAAUAAUGAAAGGCCCCAUCAAGCAGGAAGUUAACAAUUCUGCAUCGUACGUACCUAAUAACAGAGCUUCGAAAUACAUAAAGAAAAACUUAUAGGCCAGGCCUGGUGGCAGGUGCCUGUAAUCUCAAUUACUCGGGAGGCUGAGGCAGGAGAAUGGCUUGAACCCAGGAGGCAGAAGUUGCAGUGAGCUGAGACUGCACCACUGCACGCCAGCCUGGGCGACAGACUGAGACUCCGUCUCAAAAAACACAAUAAAAUGAAACAAAAUACAAACUUACAGAACCAAAAAGAGAAACAAAGAGACCUGCUGCCACGGGGGUGACUUUCACACGGAAGCAGCGGGAUGAGCGGGUGGAGGAAAUUCACGGGGAUACGGAUGAUUGGAACAAAAAUGGUGAAGUUGGUCAGACUGAGAAAAAACAACGCCUCUCCCCAAAACGCCGGAAAGGGGACGUGUCACAAUGAUUGAACCUGUCCCUACACGGGGCCAUAAAGCUUUCUCUAUACAUUUCAAGUGACUAAAAUAAUUUUAAGUAUAUAUUCUGACCAUAGUGAAAAGAGGCCACAAAUUAAUCACAAGAGAAUAACCAGAAAAUUCUCAAGUGUUCGGUGAUUUCACUACACACAUCCGAAUAACUGCCAGGCCAGGAAGGAAAUCACAAAACACUAGGAAUUGUUUGAGCUAAAUAGUGAUGAAAAUAGAUACGCUUUAUGAGAUCAGCGAACAUUAUGUUUAGAAGGAAAUGUAUGGGCUUAAAUCUGUACAUUGGCAAAGAAGAUUAGCGGGAAAAUCAGUGACUGUCCGUGUCACAAAGGAAAGAAAGCGGAAACCCUCAGAUAGGGAAGAAAGGAAAAAAGCUAACACACAAAAAUAAAACGAGCAGCAGAAAUGAAUGAAAGAGAAAACAAUAAACGGGUAACGGAAAACAUAUAAAACCAAAACGCUGGUUUUCUGAAGGGCAUACUGAGACUGGCAAAGCACGUCAGGACUGAACAAGAGACAGAAAGGCACCAAUCGCCGGCCUCAGGAGCGACAGUGGGGGCGUCAGCAGCUCCCACAAAGACCAGAAACACAGGAGGCUGUUAGGAACAUUUCGAUGUUGUUAGAUAUUUUCCAUUCUUAUUUUUCUCAAAUUUGUAUUGCACUAUAACAUACAUCUGUAGAGGAAAUGAACGUAUUUAUUUUAUUUUUGGAGACAGAGUCUUGCUCUCUUGCCUGGCUGGGGUGCGGUGGCGCGGUCUCGGCUCACUGCAACCUCCGCCUCCCAGGUUCAAGUGAUUCUUGUGCCUCAGCCUGCAGAGUAGCUGGGACUACAGGCACCUGCCACCACAUUCUGCAGUUUUUUUGUAUUUUUAGUAGAGACAGGGUUUCACCAGGUCAGGCUGGUCUGGAACUCCUGACCUCAUGUGAUCCGCCUGCCUCAGUCUCCCAAAGUGCUGGGAUUACAGACAUGAGCCACUGCUCCCAGCCUGAUUCCAGGUCUUUAGAUAAUUCUUUCAACCAUCUGGGAACCAGAAAAUCCCUAAAUCCAUCUAUGACCUAGAAGCCUCAGAUGACAGGUGUGAGGCACCACACCUGGCCUUCUUUUUCCCUCUGAGACUGGGGGACGACAUUUCCUUGAAUCUCGUAGUAGUUAAUACCUUCCCCCCAAAAGGUGACCGGUGCUGUGACUUAUUUUUGAAAUCCUAUGGCACAUAGACUCUGGUGUCUGGUGUCUGUUGCCCACUGUGACGUCUGUAGAGUCAUCCAGGUGUUACCAAGUGCGGUCAUUUUCUUUUCACUUGCAAGGUGCCCAGGGCACAAACAUACCAGACCUUAUUUAUCCAUCCAUUGUCAAGGGCCAUGAGGUUGCUUUCCGUGGGGAAGAUUCUACCAACAGAGCCGCCGUGAGCGGCCUCGGACACGCCUAAGGACUGAAAGCACGUGCUUCUCUUCGGCAUGAGGCUGGAAGUGGAGCUGUUGGGUCCUAGGCAGGCACGUGCACAGCGCUGGGAAAUGCUGCGGCUUUUUCCAAAAUGGUUGCCCCGCUAUGCUCUCACCUGCCACGCCGAGGAUUCGGUCUUCGCCAUCCUGGUGGACGUGGUGACCUCUCAUUAUGGUUUCAGCCUGCACUCGUCUUUUCUGACAAACGGUAGCGGGCAUGCUUCCGUGAAGGCGUUGGGCCACGCGGGCGUCCUCCUGGCACGUCUUUCACUUGCCCUGCUUUUUAAUGGGCGCCUCUCUUUUUCCUCUGACUUCUAAUACUUAUACAUUUUGAGUCCAAAUUGUUUGUCCUUUUCACUCGCCUUAAGGUGCCUUUGGGUGAACAGAGGUUCUUAGUUUUCAGUAGCCCAAUUUAUUAAGAAGCUCCUGGCAGUCCAGUGAGAAGCGAGGAGGGGUAGUACGGGGGCCUCUUCUCCUGAAGAAGAAAGGGCCGCAGGAGGAAAGCCUUAGCCAUGCCGUCCUUGAUCAGAAGGGUAAUCAGCCCCAGGGGCCAUCGGACCCUACAGCCAAGCUGUGAUGGUCAACAGGACCAUGUACAUUUCAGCACAGAUAGGCGUGGACCCCUCAGGUGGCCAGCUUGUGUCAGGAGGCGUAGCAGAAGCAGCUAAACCAGCUCUUUUUUUUUUUUUUUGAGACGGAGUUUCGCUCUUGUUACCCAGGCUGGAGUGCAAUGGCGCGAUCUCGGCUCACUGCAACCUCCGCCUCCUGGGUUCAGGCAAUUCUCCUGCCUCAGCCUCCUGAGUAGCUGGGAUUACAGGCACGCGCCACCAUGCCCAGCUAAUUUUUGUAUUUUUAGUAGAGACGGGGUUUCACCAUGUUGACCGGGAUGGUUUCGAUCUCUUGACCUCGUGAUCCACCCGCCUCGGCCUCCCAAAGUGCUGGGAUUACAGGUGUGAGCCACCGUGCCCGGCCCAAACCAGCUCUUAAAAACAUGAGUGAAAUUCUGAAAGCCGCAAGCUGUGACUUCACUAAUGUGGUGAAAACAACCAUUCUUCGGGCCGACGUAAAGGACUUCAAUACCGUCGAUGAAAUCUACAAACAGUAUUUCAAGACUAGAUUUCCCGCUAGAGCUGCUGCUUUGCCCAAAGGUGCCCGAAUUGAAAUGGAAGCAGGAGCCGCCCAAGGGCCUCUGACAACGGCACCAUGUAAGUGGGCACGGUGCUGUGUAGUCUGGAAUUUUUAACAUUUUAAUUUUUACAAUGAAUAUAACAUCUUAAUUAACAUUUUAAUUUUCAUAAUAUUGAUGACAGUGUGAAUCUGAUGAAAAUAUCUGAUGUUAUUAUGGAAAUGCCAUACAAUAGGGAGAGCGGAACACGACCUGAGGAUUAGAAAGGAAUCCAGUUACUGUUUUGAAUUACACCUCUGUGCACCUGUAUUCCUGAAUACAGGAAGGAGAUACUCAUUACCUAGUUACUCAACAAAAAAAGAGAAAUAACAGGCAGGGAAGAAGACUUAUGAUUCCUGAGAAGUAAUUGAGAACAUAUGUAAUUCAAACCAAUACUGUGAACGACUUAAUUCUCACGUUACGUAUGUGCUUCUGCUUUUCCUGAGUAAAAUUUAAGUGUUGAAAUUUGAGGUCAAGGAGAAGAAAGUGGACCAAAAUGUUGCAUAGAUAAUAUUUUUCUAACGGAAAUAAAAUAGGCACGCGGAUUUCAACAACAACAAAGAAGAAACUGCUGGCCAGGCAUGGUGGUUCACGCCUGUAAUCCCAGCACUUUGGGAGGCUGAGGCAGGUGGAUCGCCUGAGGUCAGGAGUUCGAGACCGGCCUGGCCAGCAUGGCAAACCUCCAUCUGUACUAAAAAUACAAAAUUUAGCGCACGCCUGUAAUCCCAGCUACUUAGGAGGUUGAAGCAGGAGAAUUGCUUGAACCCAGAAGAGGAAGGUUGCGGUGAGCUGAGGUCACAUUGUGUUCAGUGAGACUCUUCCUCCAAAAAAAAGAAAAAAAAAAGGAAAUUCUCUUCUGAUUUAUAGCUUAAGGAAGAAUUUAAAAUUAUGCCACAGGUCACUUCUGCUUCAGGCCAUGAGGGACAGGGACACAGGACGGGUUUGCCUUCUCACCUCAAACAGUGAGAAAACCGCAGGCAUGCUUUGCUGCGGGAGGGGAGGCAGGGCUGUGGGCUGGUCCAGCCCUACCCGUGGGCGGCUCCCUUCUAAGGAGUGUCCAGCGUCCUGUGCGCCUUUCACCCCCAUGAGCCUGGCAGCCCGGUGCCAGCAUUCCCAGGUCUGUAUCACGUCCAAGGCGUGAUGGGCUCCAGCGCUCCGCUGGUGGUUUUCCUGCCUCACCUGGCUUCCUUGCAUGUGUGCCCCUGUGCUGGCCCCAGGGCUCCGUGUGCUGUCCUCUCCCCGUUGCUGCUUCAUCUCACAAAUUCCAGUUGCCUUCGCCUCCCUGAACUCUCCGUGGGAGCCACGCCGUGAGCAAGGCAGGCAGGUGGGCUCACCGCAUUUCCUUCCGGUGCCUGCUGUCCGGUGUCUGAAAACUGCCGUUUCCCAUGUUAUUUUCUCCUUGUUCAAGGUGAGAAGGCAAACCCAGCCCGUACCCCGUCCCUCACGCCAAAAGCAGAAACGGCCUAUGGUGUGAUUUUAAGUUCUUCUUCAAGCUAAAUCAUGACAGCAUUCUCAUUAAAAUUUUAUUUUAAGCAGAAUUUUAUAUUUGAGAGUAAAAAAGGUUUACUGUCUUUUCUUGGGCAUAAUUUGAAUGUUUGGCCUUUGAAUUUUGCUGAAAAAUUUCUCUGACAAAAAGCCAUUAAUUUUUGCAUGGAAAAGGUGUGGGCUCAAUUCUGCCUGAUGGUUGCUUGGAUUUGUCACUAGCAAGAUUGGACACAAACGUGUUUCACUGACUUCUGCAAAUGACCCAAGACCCAAGGCAGGCCCCGAGCCACCGAGCUCCCGCUGUCCUUCAGGGACUUCUCUCCCCAGCUCCAGCUCCUUGACUGUGCUCUCCUGCUGUUAUCUCACCCACUGUCCCCACAUCUGGGCCACUCGGGCCAGGACCUGGGCACGUCCUUGGCCCUCUCUGCCCCUCCGCUGGGGACCCAGUCCCUUCAGGCUCCCACAGGUUUGCUGCUUCCUUUCCACAUGGCCCAUCCACCAUCCAUGCCUCCUGCACCCUCACUCCCAGUCAAAGCCCUCCUCCCUCUGACCUGACUAGACAAGGAACAAGAGAAGCUCACACUCCUUAGGGGAGGGCCAAUGUGAGCCCACCAAAUCAAAUCACCACCCACUGGCCCCUCCGGCCCAGCCCCACCCUAGGGCUGGCGCCCCCCUGCACUCCCGCAGCCAUGGGGCACUGGGGUGUCUGUUCAGGCUGACUUUCCAGUAGGUCCCAAAUCUCUGGGAAGGCCCGCGGAGGGGCCCCACUCAGAAGGCCCUCAGGGAUCUGCUGCCAGGACUAAGGUCUCACUACCCAGCCCCACCCACAGUCUUCGCUGAAGGGGGCCAGGCCAGCAGUGACCACCUCAAGCACGGCCCCGGGAGUGGCACUCGGAUGGCUCAGAUGGUGAGGCAGGGUGUGGAGGCCCCCGGUGGCUGUAUGAGGCCCGUGAAGCCGUGUCCUCACGUUCUCGGUGGGUCGCUCAGCUCAACCACCACCGUGUAAACUCAGGAGUAAACAUGUGGAAAUGUUGCUUUCUAGCCCAGGCCGCCCCCUGCUGGCAGAAUCUCUGAACUGCAGCCUGCCCUGGUCUGUCCUCCUAUGGGGCCCCACCCACCCCAAACACCCUGGAUAGAGAAGGAAGGCCAAGGUGCCAGGCGCUGACAUGCUGCCAUGUGAUAGAAGAAUGAUUUAUUAGAACAAAUUCCAUGACAAAUCAUAUAAAAUAACCAUUUUCCAAAAGCCACAAGACCACCUGAGAACGAAUGUACAGUGAACCCUCUGAGAAGCCCGGCAAACUGACCAGUCCCCAGGUGAGGGCUGGACGGGGGAGCGAAGGAGCUCAGCGUGGGAGGAGCAGGAACUGUGGAUUUAAAGUCACACAGCCACUGCCGAGGGGUGCAGCUGGAGUGGGAAGGAGCCGUGGAUGAAGUGACCAAUUCGUGUCCAGGGGCACGCAGUGGUGGGCAGCGGCCCGAUGGGCCUAGCUGGCACCUCCUCCAUACAGACAGCAGGCUCUUGGGGUGGGGACCAGGUGGGGACAACUGCCACCCCCACCCCCCCCAACACACGUAAACAUCAGGUGGGCCAUGGGGCUCAGAAGCACAGAACUUGUGCACCCAGCCCCAGAUCAGCUAAAAGUAAACAGGGACACACACCACCCACUUCGUCUCCGGUCCCCAGCACCACUCCCCCAGCAGCUGGGCCCUGUCCAGGUCCAAUUCUCGUACCAAUGCCAGGCGGGACGUGGAGCUCAGCCACACCAGUCUGGUCCAGGUGGGACACCCACCACUCCCACUCCCACCAACCACAGCCAAUGGGCUCUUUGGCUUAGAGGCUCCAGCAACACGGGCUGCCCCAGGAAGGGCUGCGGCAGAGGGCCAAGGUCUGCUCACCUGACGUUCCCAGCUGAAAGAAUCCUGAGGAAACAACAGUUCCUGGGCCCUCCCUGCCCCCAUACCCACUUGAUGCCUGAUGGCAUGAAGCCAAAAGGGGAGGGCGUGUUGUGCAGGCCAAGCUGGGAGCUUCCGGAAACCUGGCUUCCAGUCACUUUGGUCGUGUGCUCACCCCCCAUCUGAAGGGCUGCCACGCACCCAGCUGUCCCCAGGCCCUUGGAAGCCCAAGUGCAGAGGCCCAUAGCCCCUCAGGGACAUCCCUGCGGUCCUCAUGGUGCAGCAUGGAGGCACGCAUGGACUAGCCAUGUGCAUGGCGGGGUGUCUGCACCUGUAUGCAUGGCCCAGCUCUCAGCCAGCCCCAGGCCCACACCGUAGGGCUCCACGGGCAGCCCCAAGGUCAAUGGAUUUGGCAACUGUGUUGGCACCAAAGGUUGGAAGCAGUGAGGCGCCUGCCUGUGAAAGGCCUGCGGGUCAGGUGGGAGCCACCAGGGCAAGUGCCCUACCAUCUUAGACAGUCCCAGGAACAGGUGAGCCUGCCCCAGCUCCAUGCUUGCCACCAAAUGACCCCACAGCCGACCUCUCUUCCUCUGCCUGGCUGCAGGCCAGCACAAAAGGACAUGGCAGGUUAGGGCCUGGCGGGGCCAGUCAGGCCUGGAGGGGGCACCUGCAAUGGCACCAACAA